rnacentral:rRNA from 1 species
UCGGGAAUUUUGGGCAAUGGGGGAAACCCUGACCCAGCAACGCCGCGUGAAGGAUGAAGUAUUUCGGUAUGUAAACUUCGAAAGAAUAGGAAGAAUAAAUGACGGUACUAUUUAUAAGGUCCGGCUAACUACGUGCCAGCAGCCGCGGUAAUACGUAGGGACCAAGCGUUGUUCGGAUUUACUGGGCGUAAAGGGCGCGUAGGCGGCAUGACAAGUCACUUGUGAAAUCUCUGGGCUUAACCCAGAACGGCCAAGUGAUACUGUCGCGCUAGAGUGCAGAAGGGGCAAUCGGAAUUCUUGGUGUAGCGGUGAAAUGCGUAGAUAUCAAGAGGAACACCUGAGGUGAAGACGGGUUGCUGGGCUGACACUGACGCUGAGGCGCGAAAGCCAGGGGAGCAAACGGGGAUUAGAUACCCUAGUAGUCCCUGAGCGGGCUGGCAAGGCGCAU